AUUGAACGCUGGCGGCAGGCCUAACACAUGCAAGUCGAGCGGAUGAAGGGAGCUUGCUCCUGGAUUCAGCGGCGGACGGGUGAGUAAUGCCUAGGAAUCUGCCUGGUAGUGGGGGAUAACGUCCGGAAACGGGCGCUAUACCGCAUACGUCCUGAGGGAGAAAGUGGGGGAUCUACGGACCUCACGCUAUCAGAUGAGCCUAGGUCGGAGUAGCUAGUUGGUGGGGUAAAGGCCUACCAAGGCGACGAUCCGUAACUGGUCUGAGAGGAUGAUGAGUCACCAUGGGACUGAGACACGGUCCAGACUACUACGGGAGGGAGCAGGGGGGAAUAUUGGACAAGGGGCGAAAGCCUGAUCCAGCCAUGCCGCGUGUGUGAAGAAGGUCUUCGGGUUGUAAAGCACUUUAAGUGGGGAGGAAAGGCAGUAAGUUAAUACCUUGCUGUUUUGACGUUACCAACAGAAUAAGCACCGGCUAACUUCGUG
rnacentral:rRNA from 1 species